rnacentral:lncRNA from 1 species
AGGGCCCACUUGACAGAGAGACUCCUAAUCCUUUUAAAUUGCAGGGGCAUGUGACAGCCAGGAUUAGCCAAGGUGUAAAACUGGGGGAGCAAGGUAGCUAAGAACAAAUUCCACAAGUGUCAGGCUCCGCAGUAUCAAAUGGGCCCGAAAAGAGCCCCAAACCCCUAUACUCUGUAGGUCACACACGGGGAAAAAGACCAUCAAUACUAACAUGGCUGCAGCAUCAUCAGCACAAAGGAGCGUCUUAACAUACCGCUUCUUAGCCUUGAUCUGUGACGCGCUGUUCUGCUGAGAUGGCUUUGCUGAUGGCUGUUGCCUGUGCUAGCUACGAUUUUCUUCAGUGUUACAACAUCAAGGAAUUUAGCAGAUGAGUAACUGAGUCCGUUCUGCUCAUUCGUGUUGUCUCGGUUUUCCAUCCCCCCCGACAAAGCUGGCAGGGUUUGAUGCUACUUCUGUGUCUGCGUCCAUACAGAAGAGCACUUGGUAUGCAGCAGCCUGUGUGUCUUCUCGUUCUCAAACCUUAGUAUAAUUGUAACCUAUGCUAGAUAUAUAAAAUAAAAGGAACUUUUUUAUUCCA